UAAAUGAUUCGACGUUGUAGAUAAUCUCUGCUUACGAGGUUUUCGAUUUACGAGCAGUAUUGGGGAAAAAAAAUGUAAGCAAUCACAGCGUGCUACUGGUACAGGUUUGUUUUGAAGGGGUGUUGCCAUAACUUUGACGUAAGUAAACAUUACAAGGGAUAGUUACUUAAAGUCAUGAAAGAAACUCUAGAAUUGUUAUGUAAACAAACAUUCAUGUAAUGCGCUGCUGCUGCUGCUGCGUGUGAAAUUUUGCCUUGUUGAAGGGGUCCCUGUUAUCGUGACAUUCAUCAGUGACUUCGACUUUGUGCUCUGUUGCCACCCUGCACCAGUGCAGGCAUUGUUUUCGUGACUGUUUUUACAUGCUCCUUGCAUGUGUUCACGAUGUGAUAGUCUUAUUGUGCCACAGCUGUAAGUUAACACAGAAUUCUCUUUGUAGUGGUGCAGCCGUGACCCACAACAGUGUCCACAUAACCCGUGGCAAUGGCUGCAGCAGCACGGCGUGUAAUCUGGAUGGACAUGUCAGGGUACACGUGCACUUACUUCAAGAUGACGACACUCCACCUCAAGAACAGCCUCUCCUCAAUGAUAAGUAGCGAGAUUAAAUGAAAGGAAGAUAUCACAUCCGUAACCAGACUGAUACUGUGUUUUCCUUUCAUUUAACCUCCUUCUGCAUUUAAGGAAGCAUUGAUAUGCCCAAUAAAUGUUUUUGUUAAAUUUC
rnacentral:lncRNA from 1 species